GCCGCGUAGAGGGGAGUGGAGGGGACCCGGUCCAUUGGUGAUGGAGAGGUCGAGAGUUCAAUCCUCUCUGGCAGCACCA
rnacentral:tRNA from 1 species